UCCCUGUUACCAGGGCAGUAUGCUUAGAGAAAUUCAACUAAGCAAAAGGGUUGCGCUCGUUGCGGGACUUAACCCAACAUCUCACGACACGAGCUGACGACGGCCAUGCAACACCUGUCACUGCGUUCCAAAAGGCACAGUCUACUUUCGUAGUCCUUCGCAGGAUGUCAAACCUGGGUAAGGUUCUUCGCUUACCAUCGAAUUAAACAACACGCUCCACCGCUUGUGCGGGUCCCCGUCAAUUCCUUUAUGUUUUAGCCUUGCGGCCGUACUCCACAGGCGGGAUGCUUAACGCGUUAGCUUCGCAACUACUCGGGUCGAUACGAGUAACUGCUAGCAUCCAUAGUUUACGGCGUGGACUAC
rnacentral:misc_RNA from 1 species